ensembl:lncRNA
GUGAAAAGAGGACAGGAGAUACAAAAGAGAAGAGGAACUGAAGAAGAGAGGAAAAUUAAAGAAAAAAGAAGACUCUACACGUCUGAAGGCACUUGACAAAGGCCAGAUCCAGGAGACUAGCCAUGGAGGGGGAUUACAUGAAACCACCACCGUCUUAUGAAGAAGUUAUUACCCAGCAGCACACGAGCAACACUAGUCAGAGCCGCUCUGCUGAUAACAGGCAGGGCUGCUGCUGCAGGUGCUGUAUUAGCACCAAGAACUGUCUGAUGAGUCCAGAGUGCGGUCGAGCUCUUAGCAUCGCCAACGUGAUUGCCAUGUGUGGCAUGUGCAUCCGAAUGUUCGUCUAACACAGUCUCCUGUGGACCAUCUAUUCCAGUUCUCUCAUCCAGUGGUGGCCUUCUCAAAUUAAAAGGGAUACAAAGACAUUUGCUCUGUUCCAAAACCUAGUGAUCUGCAACAUUUAUAAGUUCUCCCACAAUACGAAUCCCAAUGCUGUGCCAAAAACAAUGCAGCACUGCAUGUAUCAUUCAGGUAAUGCUAACUGACUAAAAUUUCACCUUUACAAUAUGUGUUUCCUUUUUGGAAGACAAUAGCAGACAACAUAGUUAAACAGUUUUACCAAGAUUUUCUUUCAUUCAAAUUGCCUAUAUUAAUAUAGAGCUUUAUACAAUACAAAAUAGAAAAGAAACAGAAUCAGUGAUGCAAACCUCAUCAGAUAUGAGGAGACCCAAAUUCAGCUGUAAAGCAGCUCUAAAAAGACAUUUCUAAAAUAGUUGCAGUCAUUUGGAAAUGAAAAGUUGUAUUUUAUUGUUUUCAUAAAUUGGAGCCAGUCAUGUUAUUAGAUGUGGCAUCUGCCUUAAUUAUUUAUCAGGGUAUCAAAACUUUGCAUUUAUCAUUAACAUUUCUUCUAAACCUUCUUGUGUGAAAAUGUAAUUUAUGAUACAGAAUUAUUUUUUAAAUGAUGUGCACUAGACCGACAGGUCAAUAAAUCACCAUGCUAGAUUAUUUUCCCAAUUGUGGUGGAUUGUUUUCCUUUAAGACUGUAAAAUAUUAAACCUGUAGACUGAGAUUGUGUAAAUAUGGAUCUUCUACACUGUGGAAUAUAAAGCCAUCUGUCUUAUAGCCAGUACACACACACAAAAAUAAAAAUAAAAUCCUUUACAUUAAUACAGCUCCCGUGUUUUGUCUUCAGGAGUAAAUAUUUAUCCAGUUAAAAACUCUACACUCAAAUAUGUAAAAUAAUAAAAAUGUCGGGCAUUUGCAGAUGAGGAUGAAUAGGAGUCUUUAUUUUGUGUCAUUUUAAUUAGUAUUUGCAUCAUAAUCCGAUGAUAAACUGUCCCAGAAAAAAAAGUGUUUUUACUAUUUUUUAAUCAUUAAGAGAGAAUAAUUUAUGAUGGCCAUUUGGGAUUAAGAUGACAUGAUUAGUGCGCUAACAUGUUUUUUAUCUCCUAACUAUACCCUGACUAUUUGCUGUGUCAAGAAUCACAGGUCAAGCAUUUCUCCGGGACUCUCUGACUGCUCUCGCUCACUGGCCCAUUUUUCAACGCUCGAGAAACAAUACAAGAUUUAAUCAUUCUGAAGGAUCCAAGUAGAGUGUUUUAGUCCAUGUUCACAAGACUGGAAUCAGAAUCCAUCAGGGUAAUGAAGGGAAUCCAAUACCAUAAUCAAAAUACACAGGCAGUGAACAAGAGAACAAAUCCUAGGUACAAACCACUCCGAGUGAAAUACACACAAGAGCCAUGAACAAAAAGAGCAAGAACAAAAAUAACAGAUUGUUUUAUAUAUGCUAAACAAAGCAAUGCACAUAUGGAGUGAAACAGUAGCUUAAUUAAUAUUAAUAUUCAUGCAGUACAUUAAUAUCCAUGCAGUACAUACUGUAUAUGUAGGAUGUGAGACAGAAGAUUUUAAACACGUAUUGUUUUGAUAUAGCCAUGAUGAGGCAGAGCAACAUCUAUACUCAGAAAUUACCAUUUCUUAGCUUUAUACACUUGAGCUCAUCUAAGAGAAGCAAAAAUAAUGAUCAACUGAUUUUUAUUUGUUUUGGAUUUGUUACUGCCCAUGUCAGAUAUCAGCUCUUUAAUGAAUUCUUUACUUUCACUCUCAGUAUGUGAUAUUUGAUUCUCUCUGUCCAGCAGUGGUGAAGCAGAAGGUGAUUCUGCUGCUGUUCUUAACAUAGUCAUGAGCUGUCAAUCACUGCAUCUAUUCCCAAUCAGGCAGUAUUGGGCAACACACAAGUUCACUGGAAAGUUGAAAAAGUGCACGCACAAGAUCUAUGAAUUUCAAUUGCUAAUAUAUUAUUUCUCGAUGCAACAGCCAGUGGUGGAUAUUGAUUUCAAGAUGGAGUCUCAGCAGAUCAGUGCAUAUGAAUGUGGUGUGACUAGGCUGGAUUGAUAUUCUUCUAUACAGUCUUACAUUCUUUAAGGGAAGUUGUGGCCUAGUGGUUAGAGAGUUUGACUCCUAACCCUAGGGUUGUAGGUUCGAUACCAUGACUGAGGUGCCCUUGAGCAAGGCACCGAACCCCCAACUGCUCCCCGGGCGCCGCAGCAUAAAUGGCUGCCCGCUGCUCCGGGUGUGUGUUCACAGUGUGUGUUUGUGUUCACUGCUGUGUGUGUGUGUGCACUUUUGAUGGGUUAAAUGCAGAGUAUGAAUUCUGAGUAUGGGACACCAUACUUGGCUGAAUGUCACGUCACUUUAACUUUUCACUUUUUUGAAGCCCUGGAUGACGUCAAACAACUCCCCUUGUGAUACUUUUAAAAAAUGUGGCUGUACUUUAAUACUGUGCCAUCAAAAUGUAUUUGGACACUUAAAAUGUAUGAAAGACAUUGAUUUGAAUCAGGAGCGCGUCUAGACCUGCCGACAUUUUCUACAGUGAUGUACUGUGACCCAGCUAAAUUGUUCCAUGUAAAUUAAGCUCUGAACCUUUUUUUUUUUAAACUGUUGUAUUUGCUCAAAAUAGGCUGGCACAUUUGACAUUUCUAUUUAUUAUAAACAUCAUUCUUUAAUUAUUCACUAUUGUGAAUACCAUAUUGUCUUCUGGAGUCAAUAAAGCAUAAAUUAAAAGUAUUUUUGCUUUAAUAACUUAAAUUGGUGUAAAACAAAG